AGAGUGCAGAGCUCAGAGUCAGUUCAAAUAAAACUACUUAAGUAAAAUGCUCCUCAAUUUCUCAAUUCUUCCCGGACAAACAUCAACCAAUUGAAUCGAACUCUAAUCGGAAUCCGAAUCGAAUGACUAAAGAUAAUAGUCGCCCAUAAGAAGGAUGAACUGAAGAUGUUGCUGCUGUCAUAAAUGACUAUGAGCAUCAAGAGAACCCAUAAAUCAGUUGCACAUUGAGUCUUUUCGUACAGAGUCGGGAAAAGACGCUUAUUUGCAGACAACGAGAAACUGUCGAAAUUAAUCGUCGAUUAGAAGAAUGUACUGAAGAUUACUAUUCGUUUCUUACUUCCGUCGAACUGGUGUUACACUAUAAAUCAGCAUUUCGGCUAUGAUGGCGAUUGCAAACUCUUUCAGCUCUCGCGGAUCGGUGUUAGUGUCGGAAUUCAGGCCAGCGGCUGCGAAAGCCGCCCUGAUGGUGCCCUGCAUCUGGAGUAUGAUUUCGUUUCUUCCAAAUUAUUGAGUUCUUCCCGGACAAGCAUCAUCCAGUUGAAUCGAACCCUAAUCCGAAUCAGCAUCAAUAGAACCCAAAAAUGAUACUUAUAGUAUUUGCAGACAACGAGAAACGGUCAACAGUUAUUCGCGAGCUCUGAUUUUGAUUACAAUCUAAAGCAAGCCUCUUCAGAGCUCUGGGAGAAUGUGGGGGUCUGAAUUGCCAAAAAUAUACUGUUCCAUUCCACCCACUUAAGAGAAUAUAUUAUAUAUUAUUAUUAUAUUA